CCUACGGGUGGCAGCAGUGGGGAAUCUUAGACAAUGGGGGAAACCCUGAUCUAGCCAUGCCGCGUGAUCGAUGAAGGCCUUAGGGUUGUAAAGAUCUUUCAGAUGGGAAGAUAAUGACGGUACCAUCAGAAGAAGCCCCGGCUAACUCCGUGCCAGCAGCCGCGGUAAUACGGAGGGGGCUAGCGUUAUUCGGAAUUACUGGGCGUAAAGCGCACGUAGGCGGAUUAGAAAGUCAGAGGUGAAAUCCCAGGGCUCAACCUUGGAACUGCCUUUGAAACUCCUAGUCUUGAGGUCGAGAGAGGUGAGUGGAAUUCCGAGGGUAGAGGUGAAAUUCGUAGAUAUUCGGAGGAACACCAGUGGCGAAGGCGGCUCACUGGCUCGAUACUGACGCUGAGGUGCGAAAGCGUGGGGAGCAAACAGGAUUAGAUACCCUAGUAGUC
rnacentral:rRNA from 1 species